rnacentral:rRNA from 1 species
CACGUAGGGCGCGAGCGUUGUCCGGAAUUAUUGGGCGUAAAGAGCUCGUAGGCGGCCUGUUGCGUCCGCUGUGAAAGCCCGGGGCUUAACCCCGGGUCGGCAGUGGAUACGGGCAGACUGGAGUUCGGCAGGGGAGACUGGAAUUCCUGGUGUAGCGGUGAAAUGCGCAGAUAUCAGGAGGAACACCGGUGGCGAAGGCGGGUCUCUGGGCCGAUACUGACGCUGAGGAGCGAAAGCGUGGGGAGCGAACAGG